CAAAAACAUAGCUGUAUGAUAUUACUUACAGUACUUUCUGCUCAAUGAGUCUUAAAUAGCCGCAGUACCCUGACUGUGCAAAGGUAGCGAAAUCAAUUGGCUUCUAAUUAAAGUCUUGUAUCAACGAAUAUAUGGGGGCCCGCUAUACCAAUGAUAGAUCUUGAAUUUGCUUAGGGAGUGCAAAUACUCCUAGAACUUAAUAGACGAGRAGACCCUAGAAAUUUUUACAAGUGUUUUUGUUGGGGCAACAUAGUAACAAAUAAUUUACUCUAUGGACAAGAAAAGUAUUAGAAAGCAAAAAUUACUCUAGGGAUAACAGCAUAAUGUAAAAGCGUUUGUGACCUCGAUGUUGGAUUAGGAAGUUAUAGCCUAAAAGGUAUUUAACURUGCUCUGUUCGUGC
rnacentral:rRNA from 1 species